GGCUCAUUAUAUAAGUUAUCGUUUAUUUGAUAGUACCUUACUACUUGGAUAACCGUGGUAAUUCUAGAGCUAAUACAUGCUAAAAAUCCCGACUUCGGAAGGGAUGUAUUUAUUAGAUUAAAAACCAAUGCCCUCUGGGCUCUCUGGUGAUUCAUGAUAACUUCUCGAAUCGCAUGGCCUUGCGCCGGCGAUGGUUCAUUCAAAUUUCUUCCCUAUCAACUUUCGAUGUUUGGGUAGUGGCCAAACAUGGUUGCAACGGGUAACGGAGGGUUAGGGCUCGACCCCGGAGAAGGAGCCUGAGAAACGGCUACUACAUCCAAGGAAGGCAGCAGGCGCGCAAAUUACCCAAUCCCGACACGGGGAGGUAGUGACAAUAAAUACUGAUACAGGGCUCUUUUGGGUCUUGUAAUUGGAAUGAGUACAAUUUAAAUCCCUUAACGAGGAACAAUUGGAGGGCAAGUCUGGUGCCAGCAGCCGCGGUAAUUCCAGCUCCAAUAGCGUAUAUUAAAGUUGUUGUGGUUAAAAAGCUCGUAGUUGAACCUUGGGCCUGGUUGGCCGGUCCGCCUCACCGCGUGUACUGGUCCGGCCGGGCCUUUCCCUCUGUGGAACC
rnacentral:rRNA from 1 species